rnacentral:rRNA from 1 species
AUUGAACGCUGGCGGCAUGCCUUACACAUGCAAGUCGAACGGUAACAGGUUAAGCUGACGAGUGGCGAACGGGUGAGUGAUAUAUCGGAACGUGCCCAGUCGUGGGGGAUAACGUAGCGAAAGCUACGCUAAUACCGCAUACGAUCUACGGAUGAAAGCGGGGGAUCGCAAGACCUCGCGCGAUUGGAGCGGCCGAUAUCAGAUCAGGUUGUUGGUGAGGUAAAAGCUCACCAAGCCUGCGAUCUGUAGCUGGUCUGAGAGGACGACCAGCCACACUGGCACUGAGACACGGUCCAGACUCCUACGGGAGGCAGCAGUGGGGAAUUUUGGACAAUGGACGCAAGUCUGAUCCAGCAAUGCCGCGUGCAGGACGAAGGCCUUCGGGUUGUAAACUGCUUUUGUACGGAACGAAACGGUGAGCUCUAAUACAGUUUGCUAAUGACGGUACCGUAAGAAUAAGCACCGGCUAACUACGUGCCAGCCGCCGCUGUAA